CUUUCCUACGGGAGGCAGCAGUGAGGAAUAUUGGUCAAUGGACGAGAGUCUGAACAAGCCAAGUAGCGUGAAGGAUGACUGCCCUAUGGGUUGUAAACUUCUUAUAUAUGGGAAUAAAACGUUCCACGUGUGGGAUUUUGUAUGUACCAUAUGAAUAAGGAUCGGCUAACUCCGUGCCAGCAGCCGCGGUAAUACGGAGGAUCCGAGCGUUAUCCGGAUUUAUUGGGUUUAAAGGGAGCGUAGGAGGAUUGUUAAGUCAGUUGUGAAAGUUUGCGGCU
rnacentral:rRNA from 1 species